rnacentral:misc_RNA from 1 species
GAAAUGCGAUAAGUAAUGUGAAUUGCAGAAUUCAGUGAAUCAUCGAAUCUUUGAACGCACCUUGCGCUCCUUGGUAUUCCGAGCAGCAUGCCUGUUUGAGUGUCAUGAAACCCUCAAACCCAAGUCUUGGAUUUAGGUCCAUGCUUGGGAUUGGAUUUGGAUGUUUGCCGGUGAUGAACCGACUCAUCUUAAAAGUAUUAGCUGGUACUGUCUAUAUGAUUUGUUUGACUUGGCAUUAUAAGUAUUUUGCUGAGGACAUCUUCGGAUGUCUAGUAUCUAGACUACUGUCUGCUAUCUAAACCAUCACUUUAAGUUCAUCUUUGGAUGUUACUCAUUGUGUAACUUUGACAUCUGGCCUCAAAUCAAGUAGGACUACCCGCUGAACUUAA